rnacentral:rRNA from 1 species
UUAAGCGACUAAGCGUACACGGUGGAUGCCCGGCAGUCAGAGGCGAUGAAGGACGUGCUAAUCUGCGAAAAGCGACGGCGAGGUGAUAUGAACCUUUGACCCGUCGAUGUCCGAAUGGGGAAACCCAGUGUGAUUCGUCACACUAUCGUUAACUGAAUACAUAGGUUAACGAGGCGAACCGGGGAACUGAAACAUCUAAGUACCCCGAGGAAAAGAAAUCAACCGAGAUUCCCCAGUAGCGGCGAGCGAACGGGGAGCAGCCCGAGUCUGAAUCAGCUUGUGUGUUAGUGGAAGCGUCUGGAAAGUCGCACGGUACAGGGUGACAGUCCCGUACACGAAAAUGCACAGGUUGUGAACUCGAAGAGUAGGGCGGGACACGUGGUAUCCUGUCUGAAUAUGGGGACCAUCCUCCAAGGCUAAAUACUCCUGACUGACCGAUAGUGAACCAGUACCGUGAGGGAAAGGCGAAAAGAACCCCGGCGAGGGAGUGAAAAGAACCUGAAACCGUGUACGUACAAGCAGUGGGAGCACCUUCGUGGUGUGACUGCGUACCUUUGUAUAAUGGGUCAGCGACUUAUAUUCUGUAGCAAGGUUAACCGUAUAGGGGAGCCGAAGGAAACCGAGUCUUAACUGGGCGUUAAGUUGCAGGGUAUAGACCCGAAACCCGGUGAUCUAGCCAUGGGCAGGUUGAAGGUUGGGUAACACUAACUGGAGGACCGAACCGACUAAUGUUGAAAAAUUAGCGGAUGACCUGUGGCUGGGGUGAAAGGCCAAUCAAACCGGGAGAUAGCUGGUUCUCCCCGAAAGCUAUUUAGGUAGCGCCUCGUGAACUCAUCUUCGGGGUAGAGCACUGUUUCGGCUAGGGGCCAUCCCGGCUUACCAACCCGAUGCAAACUACGAAUACCGAAGAAUGUUAUCACGGGAGACACACGGCGGGUGCUAACGUCCGUCGUGAAGAGGAAACAACCCAGACCGCCAGCUAAGGUCCCAAAGUCAUGGUUAAGUGGGAAACGAUGUGGGAAGGCACAGACAGCCGGAUGUUGGCUUAGAAGCAGCCAUCAUUUAAAGAAAGCGUAAUAGCUCACUGGUCGAGUCGGCCUGCGCGGAAGAUGUAACGGGGCUAAACCAUGCACCGAAGCUGCGGCAGCGACACUAUGUGUUGUUGGGUAGGGGAGCGUUCUGUAAGCCGUCGAAGGUGUGCUGUGAGGCAUGCUGGAGGUAUCAGAAGUGCGAAUGCUGACAUAAGUAACGAUAAAGCGGGUGAAAAGCCCGCUCGCCGGAAGACCAAGGGUUCCUGUCCAACGUUAAUCGGGGCAGGGUGAGUCGACCCUAAGGCGAGGCCGAAAGGCGUAGUCGAUGGGAAACAGGUUAAUAUUCCUGUACUUGGUGUUACUGCGAAGGGGGACGGAGAAGGCUAUGUCAGCCGGGCGACGGUUGUCCCGGUUUAAGCGUGUAGGUGUGUGUUCCGGCAAAUCCGGUUCACUUUAACACUGAGGCGUGAUGACGAGGCACUACGGUGCUGAAGUGAUAAAUGCCCUGCUUCCGGAAAAGCCUCUAAGCAUCAGGUAACACGAAAUCGUACCCCAAACCGACACAGGUGGUCAGGUAGAGAAUACCAAGGCGCUUGAGAGAACUCGGGUGAAGGAACUAGGCAAAAUGGUGCCGUAACUUCGGGAGAAGGCACGCUGAUAUGUAGGUGAAGUCCCUGCGGACGGAGCUGAAAUCAGUCGAAGAUACCAGCUGGCUGCAACUGUUUAUUAAAAACACAGCACUGUGCAAACACGAAAGUGGACGUAUACGGUGUGACGCCUGCCCGGUGCCGGAAGGUUAAUUGAUGGGGUUAGCGGCAACGCGAAGCUCUUGAUCGAAGCCCCGGUAAACGGCGGCCGUAACUAUAACGGUCCUAAGGUAGCGAAAUUCCUUGUCGGGUAAGUUCCGACCUGCACGAAUGGCGUAAUGAUGGCCGGCUGUCUCCACCCGAGACUCAGUGAAAUUGAACUCGCUGUGAAGAUGCAGUGUACCCGCGGCAAGACGGAAAGACCCCGUGAACCUUUACUAUAGCUUGACACUGAACACUGGUCCUUGAUGUGUAGGAUAGGUGGGAGGCUUUGAAGCGUGGACGCCAGUCUGCGUGGAGCCGUCCUUGAAAUACCACCCUUUAAUGGCUGGUGUUCUAACGUGGACCCGUGAUCCGGGUUGCGGACAGUGUCUGGUGGGUAGUUUGACUGGGGCGGUCUCCUCCCAAAGAGUAACGGAGGAGCACGAAGGUUAGCUAAUCUGGUCGGACAUCAGGAGGUUAGUGCAAUGGCAUAAGCUAGCUUGACUGCGAGAGUGACGGCUCGAGCAGGUGCGAAAGCAGGUCAUAGUGAUCCGGUGGUUCUGAAUGGAAGGGCCAUCGCUCAACGGAUAAAAGGUACUCCGGGGAUAACAGGCUGAUACCGCCCAAGAGUUCAUAUCGACGGCGGUGUUUGGCACCUCGAUGUCGGCUCAUCACAUCCUGGGGCUGAAGUAGGUCCCAAGGGUAUGGCUGUUCGCCAUUUAAAGUGGUACGCGAGCUGGGUUUAGAACGUCGUGAGACAGUUCGGUCCCUAUCUGCCGUGGGCGCUGGAGAAUUGAGGGGCUGCUCCUAGUACGAGAGGACCGGAGUGGACGCAUCACUGGUGUUCGGGUUGUCAUGCCAAUGGCACUGCCCGGUAGCUAAAUGCGGAAGAGAUAAGUGCUGAAAGCAUCUAAGCACGAAACUUGCCCCGAGAUGAGUUCUCCUGAGACUUUAAGUCUCCUGAAGGAACGUUGAAGACGACGACGUUGAUAGGCCGGGUGUGUAAGCGCAGCGAUGCGUUGAGCUAACCGGUACUAAUGAACCGUGAGGCUUAACCUU